rnacentral:rRNA from 1 species
UACGAAGGGUGCAAGCGUUAAUCGGAAUUACUGGGCGUAAAGGGCUCGUAGGCGGCCAACUAAGUCGGAUGUGAAAUCCCCAGGCUUAACUUGGGAACUGCAUCCGAUACUGGAUGGCUUGAAUCCGGGAGAGGGAUGCGGAAUUCCAGGUGUAGCGGUGAAAUGCGUAGAUAUCUGGAGGAACACCGGUGGCGAAGGCGGCAUCCUGGACCGGCAUUGACGCUGAUGAGCGAAAGCCAGGGGAGCAAACGGG